rnacentral:lncRNA from 1 species
AAAUAGUCCUUAACUGUUACAGCAAAAUUAACCUUACAAUACUUAUUGAAAUCCUUUAGAAUAAACCAUAAGCAUCAGAAAGUGAGAAAUCUGGUUUUUUAUAACCUGUGCUCCAGUUUGUAAGCUCAAAACCUAAGGAAAUGGGUAAGGCUGGAACAUGAAAAUGUUUUUUAUCAAAAUUGCAUAAGAAAAAUGAGAAGGGAUUCUCUAAGGCCCUACUGUCCUAGAACUCUGCAGAUGAGGCUGACCUGGAACUCAAAGAUCCACCUGCUUCUGACUCCCAAGUACUGAGAUCAAAGGUGUGAACUACUAUAAUCCCACCAAAUCAAUUCCUAAAAAUGAAGAAGUUACAAUGAAGACAUUAUAAUGGAAGAAGAACAGGAAGGCAGCUGACUCACAUGACUACAUCCAAAGAGGGGAUAUAAAAAUCUAUUGGACUUUGGCAGUCUCCUUAGCAUAAAAGAUGGCUAACCAGAAUGUGUUGUUGAAGGAUGUCUUUUGAGAUCUAAAUAUUAUAAUGACUGUAAAGUGGAAAUUAAGCAAAUCUACUUCGAAUCCCACCUUGUGUAUGUGUUGCUUCUUAACCUUAACUUUUUGUUCUGAAUUAAUGUCUGUCACCUAGUUUGAUUCCUAUUGCUGUGAUAAAAUGCCAUGAUCAAAAACAACUUGGGAAAGAAAGAAUUUAUUUGACUUACACUUCUUGGGUCACAGUACAUUGAGAGAAGCCAAGGCAGGAACUGUAGCAGGGGCAUGGAAGAAUGUUACUUCCUUUCUUGCUUGCUCAUAGCCUGCUGAGUCUGCUUUCUUAUAUAAUCUAGUACUACCUUCCCAGGGAGCACUACUUGAAGGGAGCUGGAAGCUGGAUCAUUAAUCAAGAAAAUCCCACAGACUUGCCUAUAGGCCAGUUUGAGGAGGCAAUUCCUCAAAAGAGAUUCAGUCUUCUCAUAUAUGUCUAGCUUUGUGCCAAGCUGACAAAACCCAGCCAGCACGAUUGAUUCAUUGUCAGCUUGAAGCACAAUAUCUCAACUUGUCCCCCAAAUUUCAUGUCAAUAUUAUUAUCAAAAUGAUGGGGGAAAUACUUCUGUGUAUGUUUAUAAAUAAAGUACUUGCUUGGCCAAUGAGACAGCAGGUUAGGCUGGACUAGGAGUCAAAGCGGAUUCUGGGAAACGUAGUAGAGAAGUGGUGAUCCAGGCAGGAAGUGACAUAGCAAGGAGACUCAUAUUUAAGAAGAGGAAAAAGGAAGUGUCGCUCUCUUUUCCCCUCGCCUCCUGUUCCAGCGGCAAGAUGUGAUUCACCAGCAAGGAGGGACCCCAAUAAGGCAUCCGAUAAGAUAAGUCUUAUAAAAUAUAUAGAUGUAUGGUAAUUGAGACUGAGCUAACAAAUGAGAAUCCUAGUCAUUGGCCAAGCAGCUUUGUAACUAAUACAAGUCUCUCUGUGUAUUCAUUUGGGCCUAACUCGGGCAGGCGGCUGGCAUAAAGCUCACACGUGGCGGUGGGGCUCAGGCGGCUUUUGGCAAAAAGAUUUAUCGUA